GAUGAACGCUAGCGGCAGGCUUAAUACAUGCAAGUCGAGGGGCAUCAAGGUACACGAAAGUGUAUUGUUGGCGACCGGCGGACGGGUGAGUAAUAGGUAGGUAACCUACCUCAUACUGAGGCAUAGCUGGGAGAAAUUCCAGGUAAUUCCUCAUGAGGUUAUAUGACACAUGUGAUAUAAUCAAAGGUAUCGCAAGGUACUGGUAUGAGAUGGGCUUACUGACCAUUAGCUAGUUGGUGAGAUAAGAGCUCACCAAGGCGAAGAUGGUUAGGGGUUUGAGAGAGAGAUCCCCCACAUUGGAACUGAGAUACGGUCCAGACUCCUACGGGAGGCAGCAGUAGGGAAUAUUGGGCAAUGGGCGGAAGCCUGACCCAGCCAUGCCGCGUGAAGGAAGACGGCCUUAUGGGUUGUAAACUUCUUUACUAUGCGACUAACUAGAUUUACGAGAUAAUUCUAUAGAAUGUAGCAUAGCAAAAAGCACCGG
rnacentral:rRNA from 1 species